UACGUAGGGUGCAAGCGUUAAUCGGAAUUACUGGGCGUAAAGCGUGCGCAGGCGGUUUUGUAAGCCGGAUGUGAAAUCCCCGGGCUUAACCUGGGAAUGGCAUUCGGGACUGCAAGGCUGGAGUGCGGCAGAGGAGACUGGAAUUCCUGGUGUAGCAGUGAAAUGCGUAGAUAUCAGGAGGAACACCGAUGGCGAAGGCAGGUCUCUGGGCUGACACUGACGCUCACGCACGAAAGCGUGGGGAGCAAACAGG
rnacentral:rRNA from 1 species